UACGGAGGGAGCUAGCGUUAUUCGGAAUUACUGGGCGUAAAGCGCACGUAGGCGGCUUUGUAAGUAAGAGGUGAAAGCCCAGAGCUCAACUCUGGAAUUGCCUUUUAGACUGCAUCGCUUGAAUCAUGGAGAGGUCGAGUGGAAUUCCGAGUGUAGAGGUGAAAUUCGUAGAUAUUCGGGAAGAAACACCGAGUGGCGAAGGGCGGCUGACUGGACAUUGUAGUUGACGGCUGAGGUGACGAAAGCGUGGGGGAGCAAACAGG
rnacentral:rRNA from 1 species